ACCAAUGUUGUACAAUAAAACAGAGAUCUUACAUCAGGUUUAAAUGACAAUUUAUAAUGGUGUAUCAUAAAAAUGGUUAACAAGUAUCAAUAUGAAAGAUUGAAAUUAGAUAUUGACAAACAUUUUAGUUCAAUCAAAUAAGCUGCAUAUAAAUAUAUAAUAUACCUCAGUGUAUAACUAGAAAUGAGACCAUGAGGUUUGCUGAGAAGUGUACAAGUUUUACGAUAAAAUGGCCCUUGUUGAAGAAUGUAGAAGAAUUUGUAAUGCAGGUUUGAAACUUCUUUUCAAUGAUCUAUGCCUGCUAAUGUAGGUAAAAGUGUUCUGAUUGCUUUUUUUUCUGUGUAACAUCGUAAGGCAUAUUUGACUUUCUUGUAUGUUUUUAUCAAUCCCAAUAACAGGGUACAAACAAAAUUAACAUCAUAGCUAAACUUAAACCAAUGGAGGGCUCAAAACAUUGCAUACAUCUUAAAAAAUAAAGACCAUGUUGAUAAUAUUAACCAGCAUUAAACAAAGAGGAUAUAGCAAUAUUGCCAACUCACUGUAUACAAAUGUUCUAUGGGCAUUUCAACAAAAAUAAAUAUCUAUUUAUUGUGGCAAAUCUCUUUUUUUAUUUGUAUUUUAUGAGUAACAACACACACCCAAACAACUCUUGUUUUUCCCAUAUUUGUAUUUAUUGUGACAAUUACAUAAACAAAGCACUACCAAACACAGCUUAUCUUCCCAUUUGUAUUUAACACUAAAAACACUCACAAAACAGGACGUUAAUGCUGCAUAUACAAAGAAAUAUAGGUUAAUUACCAAACAGAUUAACAUCAAUCAUUCUUAUUGUUUAAGGUAUGUCUCUGACUUGAGGAACUAUGCAAAUUACCAAACUAUAAUAUCCACAUCUAGUGCAAAUGAUCCAAAUAACUUUUUCCCUACUUUUCAUGUUUUACAAAAUGGUAGAUGCAAUCUUUUACAUAAUAAAAAUUAUUAGAAUAAAAACAGCAAUGAGGUGAAGCAGAAACCAAUAACCAUCCAAAGCACCAGAAUCCAUCCCAAAUUUGUUUGGAUUUGAACUGUUCUAACUUGAGUGGUAUUUGUUAGGACUUUUUUAGUCUUUCCAGCAUAACUCUUCUUUUGGCCAUGGCAAUGUGUGUCAUUUUAAAUGUUUAUUGCACUGUUAGUGUCUUUUUACUUUUUUAAACAUAAUUUUGUUCCUGUCCUGUGUUUCACUUACAGUUGCACAAAUAUGUAAAAGGAAUCACUUCCUCAUACCAAACGGCUAUAAAAAAACAGAUUUUGGUAAAUUCAAGAUUCUUUUUUUGUAUUUUUGAACAAUGGACAAAUAUGUUAGUUUAUUUAUUAAAUUUGAGGACAUGCUCAUACGAAUAAAUUUCAGUUUCUAAUUAUACAGAAAUGUGAACUCAAUAUUGUUUUUAAGAUGUCACUUAACAUGAAAAUAAAACAGUACAUGAAUUUUUGUUUUUAAUAACUUUUUAUUUUCAAGAUCACAGUUUUGAGAAUGGUAUUAUGACCUACAAUGGAGCAAUUCAAAAUGGACAGAAAACUUUUUUCAAAAACAAAAAUUUAAUGUUUUUUUUUUCUAUUAAAUGGCAAGAAGUUCUUCUUACCUUUUGUUUUGAUAUCCAUUUCCUGGAUUAAAGUUCAUUUCACAAAAUAAACCAUACAUGUAUUUAUCAAUUUUCUUGAAAGAUGUCAAUUCAGAUAUAAUUCUUUCAACAUGUUCUAAUGUUCAAGAACUGUAUAAAAAUGUUAGAUACUUAAAACAAAUUUGCUCUAUUGGCUAUUAUAAAAGAUACUAUCUAAAGAAAAAUAAAUCUUUAAAAAAAAACAGUAAGAAGAUAUCCAAUUAACUAGAGUUCACACGCUGAAAUGUCUCACCUUCUUUACUAAUCAUUAAUAUUAUGUUGAUAUUCCUAAAUUUAAAGCUUUAUUACAACUGUCACAUAAACUCAACAUUAACCAAGAAAACUAAACAUUGAUCAAUGAACCAUGAAAAUGAGGUCAAGGUCAGAUGAACCAUGCCAGGCAGACAUGUACAGCUAACAAUUCUUCCAUACAACAAAUAAAGUUGACCUCUUGCUUAUAAGUUAAGAAAAACAGACCAAAACACAACUACUCAACACUUAGCAAUGAACCGUGAAAAUGAGGUCAAGGUCAAAUAAACCCUGCACAACUGACAUAUAGAUCAUAAAAUAUUUCCAUACACCAAAUAUAGCUGACCUAUUGCAUAUAGUAUUAGAAAAAUAUUCCAAAACUAAAAAAUUAACUUUGACCACUGAACCAUGAAAAUGAGGUCAAGGUCAGAUGACACCUGCCAGAUUGACAUGUACACCUUACAGUCCUUCCAUACACCGAAUAUACUAGACCUAUUGCCUAUAGUAUCUGAGAUAUGGACUUGACCACCAAUAAUUAACCUUGUUUACUGAUCCAUGAAAUGAGGUUGAGGUCAAGUGAAAACUGUCUGACAGGCAUGAGGACAUUGCAAGGUACGUACAUACUAAAUAUUGAUAUCAUAUUACUUAUAAUAAGAGAGAAUUUAUCAUUACAAAAAAUCUUAACUUUUUUUUUGAAGUAGUCAUGUGCACUGAACCAUGAAAAUGAGGUGAAGGACAUUGGACAUGUGACUGAAGGAAAGUUCGUAACAUGAGGCAUCUAUAUACAAAGUAUGAAGCAUCCAGGUCUUCCACCUUCUAAAAUAUAAAACUUUAAAGAAGUACGGUGACCUAUAGUUGUUAAUGUCUGUGUCAUUUUGGUCUUUUGUGGAUAGUUGUCUCAUUGGCAAUCAUACCACAUCUUCUUUUUUAUAACAUCUUCUUUUUUAUAUUAGCCACAGCCGCCAGAUCACUAUUCCUAUGUCGAGCUUUCUGCAACAAAAGUUGCAGGCUCGACAAAACCAUAAAUCAGGGAAAGAAAAACACCUGGAAAUAUAUAUAUAUUGUUUAAGAAAAAGACUAUUUAUCUUUGAAAAAGUACCUUCAAUAUGAUAUUGCUUUGGUUUGCUCUUGGUUAAAUUAAAAUAGAAUCGACCUGCAGCUGCAAGAUAAUUGAUAAAUAAAUUCAAGGUUUAUGUUGUAUUUUUAUUCAAUUCAGUGUUUUCCAGUUAAAUGAUCAUUUUUACCACCGUUAUAUAUAUACUUUGAUUACUGCCUUACACGUACGUAUCUGCCUCAUGUACUUUCAUUUUCAUAUAAAUAAUAAGUGAAUUUUAAUAUUACAUAACCAUGCAUCUAUGGUUUCUUAUGUUUAAGCACUAUACAAUUUUGGGUUCAAACUGUAAAUGGAGGUUCAAACUAAAUUUAAGACAUUGAUUUACACCUCAUUAAAAUGUUAAUUUAAAUACAAAGAUUAAAAAACAAAAUGAAAAAAAUGGUGAUGAAUGACCCUUAUCAUAUGAUAAACCAUCUUAGUUAUUUGCUAUUUUAAAUAGCAAAAAAACUUAUAAUAAGAACAUUUCUUUCUUAAUGUCUCACAUAUAUAUACCUUUCUUACAAAUAACCAUAUAUUCACCGAAACAAUUCAAAAUUAUACAUAUAACAUUGUCAAGCAUUAAAAAGAUUAUGGCUCAGUCACAUAAAAAAUAAUAAAUAUCCACAUCUUUGGAGGAUACAAGAUGCCUUCAUUACAGAUAUUUCUAAAUUAAUAUUUCCUUCAGCCUACUGCCUACUAGGUAAAUAUCAACUUGUGAUAACGCAUCAAUUAAAUACAGCUUAAUUAAAAUCAUAACAGAAUUAUAACACAAUGUACAACUAUGUUGAAACCCAAACAACAAAAAUAUUUUUAUCAGCUUCGUAAAUUCAACCAAUACAUACACACCAAAAAUCCCACUUUUAAAUCUUGAAUUCUUUUGUUACUAUAUAUAACACAAAAUAGAUGUAAUUUCCUCAAUUUGUAAUGAUAAUUAAUUAUUCAAAAUUACACAUAGUUAAAUAACAUAUCCCUUGACCAUUAUUACACAUCCACUAUCUCAAUACAAAAUAAACCCUAAAAAUAACCUGGAUAAUUGACAUCAUUAUGGUCACAAAAACUUUUAAAAAGGUACUAUGGACUUAAGGGCAUACGAUACAGUUACAGGGAAUGUAAUGACGUUGCUAACGUAAAAUGUUAUUUCGCGACGUCAAACUCUGACAUAUCGGGAAAAGAUGCAUUUUUCGACUGAUUUUUAUCAUUCAAACUGAUUUACUUGAAAACGAGUGCAUGGACCCCUAUUUUUUAAAACAGCAAUUUGUUUCAUUUUGCAAGGAGAUUAUGUGACCCAAAUUUUAUAAAACUGUAAAUAGCGCAAUUUUUUUUAAUUUUGAUAAACAUGCAGCAAAAAAUGACGUUUUUUCCUCUAUUCAUGAACAUUUGAUAAAUAUAGAGUUAUUUCGGAA
rnacentral:lncRNA from 1 species